rnacentral:rRNA from 1 species
AACGAACGCUGGCGGCAUGCCUAACACAUGCAAGUCGAACGAAGCCUUCGGGCUUAGUGGCGCACGGGUGCGUAACGCGUGGGAAUCUGCCCUUGGGUUCGGAAUAACAGUUAGAAAUGACUGCUAAUACCGAAUGAUGUCUUCGGACCAAAGAUUUAUCGCCCAAGGAUGAGCCCGCGUCGGAUUAGCUAGUUGGUGAGGUAAAGGCUCACCAAGGCGACGAUCCGUAGCUGGUCUGAGAGGAUGAUCAGCCACACUGGGACUGAGACACGGCCCAGACUCCUACGGGAGGCAGCAGUGGGGAAUAUUGGACAAUGGGCGAAAGCCUGAUCCAGCAAUGCCGCGUGAGUGAUGAAGGCCUUAGGGUUGUAAAGCUCUUUUACCCGGGUAUGGAUAAUGACAGUACCGGGAGAAUAAGCCCCGGCUAACUCCGUGCCAGCAGCCGCGGUAAU